rnacentral:rRNA from 1 species
GACGAACGCUGGCGGCGUGCUUAACACAUGCAAGUCGAACGGAAAGGCCCUGCUUUUGUGGGGUGCUCGAGUGGCGAACGGGUGAGUAACACGUGAGUAACCUGCCCUUGACUUUGGGAUAACUUCAGGAAACUGGGGCUAAUACCGGAUAGGAGCUCCUGCUGCAUGGUGGGGGUUGGAAAGUUUCGGCGGUUGGGGCUGGUCUCGCGGCUUAUCAGCUUGUUGGUGGAGUAGUGGCUUACCAAGGCUUUGACGGGUAGCCGGCCUGGGAGGGUGACCGGCCACAUUGGGACUGAGAUACGGCCCAGACGCGUACGGGAGGCAGCAGUGGGGAAUAUGGCACAAUGGGCGGAAGCCAGAGGCAGCAACGCCGCGUGCGGGAUGACGGCCUUCGGGUUGUAAACCGCUUUCGCCUGUGACGAAGCGGGAGUGACGGUAAUGGGUAAAGAAGCACCGGCUAACUACGUG